rfam:Cricetulus griseus cell line CHO-K1, whole genome shotgun sequence.
CCAAAGGCUCUUUUCAGAGCCACUAUGUUGUCAUUUUAAGGGCUGU